rnacentral:rRNA from 1 species
UACAGAGGUCCCGAGCGUUGUUCGGAUUCAUUGGGCGUAAAGGGUGCGUAGGCGGUCUGCUAAGUUUGAUGUGAAAUCCCGGGGCUCAACCCUGGAAUGGCAUUGAAUACUGGUGGACUAGAGUACUGGAGAGGAAACUGGAAUUUACGGUGUAGCAGUGAAAUGCGUAGAGAUCGUAAGGAAGACCAGUGGCGAAGCGAGUUUCUGGACAGUAACUGACGCUGAGGCACGAAGGCCAGGGGGAGCAAACGGG